CGUCAACUAACCCCUGAGCCACAGACUCGGAUUGGCUGAAGCGCUGUCAACUUUGCACUGGGACAGUAAAGGCUCAGCUGUCGCACAUUAUUCCAUUGCCCUCGACCCAUGACAAGUAAACAGUGACCAAAGUUAAAGCGCUUUGAAGAGGGCUGACAUGGCACACUGUUCCUUUACACAUGGAGGUUAGCUGAUCACAAAUCACCAAACCGAGGAGACAGAGACUCAGGAGAGGCGAAGGUCAAGAGCCACGCGUCCUCCGAAACACGACCUAACCCAGCCGCACUGCUUCUUGACCAAAUGCCCACUUAACCAGCCACAGUGUCCUCCACAGUGUUGGAGGAAACACCGUACACCUGGCGAUCACGUCAGAAUGCAUGCACCCGACCUGCCACAGGAGUCGCCAGAGUGCGAUGGGACAAGGACAUCCCUGCCAGCCAAACCCUCUCCUAACUCCAACUCCUUGCCUUUCCGAGUGAAUUGUUGCAUUACCUCCAAUUACUGUAGUUGUUAGUGACAGAGAAACAUUGUUUAAUUCGUUCCUGCUGUAGGAGAAUGUUAUCAUUACAAUUAUACUCUUUAAUUGUAAACUGACAGUGUUAUUGUAACACCUCAAACAACACUAUAAAUGUUACACUGACAAAUUAACACUAGGUAACACUGGCCAAAAUGCUGUGUGUGUUCCACAGUUUCCCAUCCUAUAUGAGGUCUGUAGAUGACGUUAUUGGGAAGUUAAUGAUUAACUUGGAUGAUGUUACCUCAUCGUUGGGUGUACUCCAGUUGAUCCCUUUGUGUUUGCUUUCCCUCCACAAGCUUAUGUGUAAUUAUUGACCUGAAGGAGACAGCCAGCACAGCCAACGUUGUUUAUUUGACAUGUAUUGCAAAGCAUUCUUUCUGAAAAAUUUGAGUUAAAAUAAUUUACUCUGUUUGAGACUUCUGGUCAUUUUUUAAAAGUCAUGUUUCAUUACUCCUGGGCUACUACAGCACCAAACGUUUCAUCUAUAUUUUGGAUAGCAUUAUCCCGACCCUAUUUUGUUAUUCUUCUCCUAGUUAGUGUAUGAACCUGUUCCAAUGCAGUAGUAAUUGGUCAGUAGUGUUGGAGCCAGCUCUAGUCCCUGUGGUGGUACCCUACCCUACAGUACCCACUACACAGCAUCCUCCCUCUGUCCUCCUCGUGCCCCCUGCUCUCCCCAAUACGGGCUGUUUCCAUGGAAACCUAGCAAUCUGCUCCAGUCAGUCCCACCUGUUUCCUACUUCUUCUCUUCUGUUCGUCAGAGUUUUAGAAAUAAAAACAGUCUCCCACUGGCUAUUUUAGGUAGUUAGGGCUUUUUAUUCGAAAUCUCUGAGGGUUUCUAAAUGCAGGAUGGAGGAGACUAGUUGUGCAGGGUAGGCAAUAUCAAUGUGGUUUACUAUGUUCAGUAAGUAUUCUGCAUUGUCAUGUUGGAUGGAUGAGGAUGCUGAGGUUGGGGCUCCCCUUCUCUCCUCUCUUCCCUCCCUUUCAGUCUAGACAGACAAAAGAGAAUGAGAAGUGAGCUGUGAUGCAAUGAUGGUGUUUGUACCUCUACAGAUCUAACCUGCACACCCCUCCUCUCCCUGCUGGUACCUCUCUCCUGCUCAAUACUACACCCCUCCUCUCCCUGCUGGUACCUCUCUCCUGCUCAAUACUACACCCCUCCUCUCCCUGCUGGUACCUCUCUCCUCUCCCCACCCCUCCGCUACUCCUCUCCUCCCCUCUUCACCCCUCCCCUCCUCUCCCCUCACAGCCUCGUCCUUGUUGUCCGCACGAGAGAACGAUAGAGAAUGAGGGAGGGAGGGGGAGAGAGAGAGUGAGAAAGGGAGGAAGAAAAAGGGAGCUAGGGAGGGCGGGCUCGGGCGCCAUUAGACAUAUGCAGCGGUCAGUGUGUGUUGCGCUCAACAGCAGCAACACAGAGAGGAUAGGAUCACAUGUCAUCCUGCUCUCUAGUACUGCACUGUCUGAAGGACUCCACUGACAUAGCCAUGCUAUGGGGAUGUCAUAAGGCAUGGUAAGGAUGACACAGGGAUGCUAAUAUCCUUGGUCCAGUGAGGCUACACUAGCUGCUAGCUAAGGUGAGGAAAUCAAAUCUACCUUUGUAUUGGUCUUGGGAGAGAGGAGGGGGCGUGUGUGGAUCUUUGUUUACAUGCAUUGCAUGUGAUGUGUUUUGUACUAUGUGUUGUUGUGUGUGCUUUACUUGUAUCUCUUCUUAUAUGUUAAGAGACGGUAGAGGCAUUAGUGAGCACAAGAUGUUGAAAUACAUAUUUUCAACCAAAUAUACAUUUUCUAUGUCUUUUCAAUGUCUUUUGCUCAGUGUACUGUAGUUUCCAGUGUCCCAGUGUCCUUGUGUUAUGCAGGAGGACUCUGUUUGCUCUAGCAGUCUACAUAUAGAAGUUAGUUAGCUCUUCCAUGUUCCAGAUGCUGUGCUAGCACUGGGCACAUUGCCAACCAGCCACUGUAGAUAGAUUGACAUCAAUGUCAGAUUGCUGCCCACUUGCUGGUGUAGGAGAUGAUGGAAGAAAAUACCCCUGUUAUGUAAGAACUACACUAGGAAGACAUGCAAUGGAUGUUUGGUGCUGAUGACAGUUUCAAAUGCUCUUAUCGUGACACACUCUAUUCAAUAUGAAUCGCUGAAGUUCAGAGUUACAACGUGAUUGAAAUUUAAAGGCAAUGUUCCUGCAUUAGCGGAGACUGCAUUCACGGUAUGUCGGCUCAAUUGGAAAUACAUGAACAUUUCUAUUGUACAAUUCGUAAUGCUUCAGCGAUACAGAUUGAAUAGAGUCCUUAGUGAUGGAGAUUAAGACUGUUGGAUUCACACCUAAUUCUGUUCAUCUUUCUCUCUCAAUCUAAUUUCAAACGCAUUCUUUUAUAAAGCCUUUUUACAUCAGUAGAUGUCACAAAGAUGCCUAUACAGAAACCCAGGAGAAAACCCCAAACAACAGCUCUCUUCUCCCUCUCUUCUAUCUCUCUUUCUUCUGCUUCUAUAUUCUAUAUAGCUCUAUUAUCUCUCUUCUCACUCUCUCUUUUCUAUCUCUCUCUCAUACCUUUAUAUCAGGGUUAUUCAACUCUUACCCAACUAGUACCGGAGCCUGCUGGUUUCUGUUCUACCUGAUCAUUAAUUGCACCCACCUGAUAUCCCAGGUCUAAAUCAGUCCCUGAUUGGGAGGGGAACAAAGAAACAAUGCAAUGGAACUGGCUUCGAGGUCCAGAUUUGAGUUUCAGGGCUCUAUAUUCUAUAUCUCUCUAUUCAAUCUCUCGUCUCUUCUAUCUCAAUCUCUAUUCUAUCUCUCGUCUCUUCUAUCUCAAUCUCUAUUCAAUCCCUCGUCUCUUCUAUCUCUCGUCUCUUCUAUCUCAAUCUCUCUAUUCAAUCUCUCGUCUCUUCUAUCUCAAUCUCUCUAUUCAAUCUCUCGUCUCUUCUAUCUCAAUCUCUAUUCUAUCUUUCGUCUCUUCUAUCUCAAUCUCUCUAUUCAAUCUCUCGUCUCUUCUAUCUCAAUCUCUCUAUUCAAUCUCUCGUCUCUUCUAUCUCAAUCUCUCUAUUCUAUCUCUCGUCUCUUCUAUCUCAAUCUCUCUAUUCAAUCUCUCGUCUCUUCUAUCUCAAUCUCUCUAUUCAAUCUCUCGUCUCUUCUAUCUCUCAUCUCUUCUAUCUCAAUUGCUCUAUUCAAUCUCUUGUCUCUUCUAUCUCAAUCUCUAUUCUAUCUCUCGUCUCUUCUAUCUCAAUCUCUCUAUUCUAUCUCAAUCUCUCUAUUCAAUCUCUCGUCUCUUCUAUCUCAAUCUCUCUAUUCUAUCUCUCGUCUCUUCUAUCUCAAUUUCUCUAUUCAAUCUCUUGUCUCUUCUAUCUCAAUCUCUAUUCUAUCUCUCGUCUCUUCUAUCUCUCGUCUCUUCUAUCUCAAUCUCUCUAUUCAAUCUCUCGUCUCUUCUAUCUCAAUUUCUCUAUUCAAUCUCUCGUCUCUUCUAUCUCAAUCUCUCUAUUCAAUCUCUUGUCUCUUCUAUCUCAAUCUCUAUUCUAUCUCUCGUCUCUUCUAACUCAAUCUCUCUAUUCAAUCUCUCGUCUCUUCUAUCUCUCGUCUCUUCUAUCUCAAUCUCUCUAUUCAAUCUCUCGUCUCUUCUAUCUCAAUCUCUCUAUUCAAUCUCUCGUCUCUUCUAGAAAGAAACAAUGCAAUGGAACU
ensembl:lncRNA